rnacentral:rRNA from 1 species
UGAGCUGGCGGCAGGCUUACACAUGCAAGUCGAGCGGAAACGAUGAUAGCUUGCUAUCAGGCGUCGAGCGGCGGACGGGUGAGUAAUACUUAGGAAUCUACCUAGUAGUGGGGGAUAGCUCGGGGAAACUCGAAUUAAUACCGCAUACGACCUACGGGAGAAAGGGGGCAACUUGUUGCUCUCGCUAUUAGAUGAGCCUAAGUCGGAUUAGCUAGAUGGUGGGGUAAAGGCCUACCAUGGCGACGAUCUGUAGCUGGUCUGAGAGGAUGAUCAGCCACACCGGGACUGAGACACGGCCCGGACUCCUACGGGAGGCAGCAGUGGGGAAUACUGGACAAUGGGGGCAACCCUGAUCCAGCCAUGCCGCGUGUGUGAAGAAGGCCUUUUGGUUGUAAAGCACUUUAAGCAGUGAAGAAGACUCCAUGGUUAAUACCCAUGGACGAUGACAUUAGCUGCAGAAUAAGCACCGGCUAACUCUGUGCCAGCAGCCGCGGUAAU